rnacentral:rRNA from 1 species
CGAAAGCCUGACGGAGCAAGACCGCGUGUGGGAGGAAGGCUCUUGGGUCGUAAACCACUUUUCUCAGGGAAGAAGAAAGUGACGGUACCUGAGGAAGAAGCCUCGGCUAACUCCGUGCCAGCAGCCGCGGUAAGACGGAGGAGGCAAGCGUUAUCCGGAAUUAUUGGGCGUAAAGCGUCCGCAGGCGGCUUUUUAAGUCUGUUGUUAAAGCCCACAGCUCAACUGUGGAUCGGCAGUGGAAACUGAAUAACUUGAGAGCGGUAGGGGUAGAGGGAAUUCCCGGUGUAGCGGUGAAAUGCGUAGAGAUCGGGAAGAACAUCGGUGGCGAAAGCGCUCUACUGGACGGCAACUGACACUCAGGGACGAAAGCUAGGGGAGCG